CUUGCAGUCAUCUUCCAUAGCACUUGGACAUUUUGGUCAGCUCUUUGCUAUUAUUAUCAUUUUUCAAAAAUUUUAGGACUUACUGAAAAAGAAAAUGUAAGGAUCUAAAUACCAACGGCCUUUUCCACUGUUUUUCAGGAGAUGAGGAUGAUAACUUCAAAAACGAAUGAGGCAAGGAUCCAGGACAGCUCUCAGGGAGUUGUGAUGAGAAAGGCGAUACACAACCACAGAAGAAGCAGACAGGAUCCGAAAGCAGAUUGAAACAUACUAUUCUUUACUUUAUUUCCUCCAUGAAUUUUUCUCUAGUGUUCCUGCACUGCUGGCUUAACUGGAGACUCAGGAAGGGGACUGCCAGAGAAUGGAGGCCACUUGUACCGGUGGAGGAGGUGUGUGUGCGUGUUCUCUCCCAUGCUUAGAACACAGACCUGUAAGUCCACCAGCACAGGGAACUCUUGGUGUGGAAACUCCCUCCAGUGAUGCAGAUCAGCAACUCACUUAUAACUUCGAUUCUCCAAGAGUUGCCUGGAACACCGUGUGGUUA
rnacentral:lncRNA from 1 species